UGGGUUUUUUGGGUUUUUGUGAUUUGAUGGUUUUUUUGGUUGAGGGAUUAACCAUGCAUGUUACAAAGUUCCAGUUGGGUUGGAGGAUGAUUUUAAGGGUCUUGUUGAUCUUGUGCAACAAAAAGCAUUUUAUUUUCAUGGUCCCAAUGGGUCAGCUUCUUAGUAUAUGAGAUUUGUUUUGUUUUAUCUUUAUUUUUAUUUUGUUUUUGUUCUUUUUAGACAUGGUCUUACAUUCAAUGCAGGGGGCAUACUAAGCUUUCUGGAUCUAAUCAAGUGAAGGUUUUCAUUCCAUUUCAAGAGUUCAGUGGAAAAACAGCAUUAGGCUUACCUCCUUUGACAUUGUUAAACACCUAAUCGAGGCCAGUGAAAGAGUUUCAGAGGAUCGUGGAGGAAAAUUGCCGCAACUUUAGCCAGGAUGACAAGUAGCUGAAGAAGCCUGGGUUUUAUGUUUAUAACCAUUAUUUUCCUGCACAUAGUUCUUGUGGAGAUCAUGUCCCCAUAGAAGUAGCCAUUACUUUUGGAAAUUGUAUUUGCCAACAGUUGCCGUAUUAUUGUAGUAUGUAAGAUUUUUUGAGAGAUGAGAAUCCCGAGAUUGUAUUUUUACAGUAGUAAGGAAUUAGGAUGCCGAUUCUUUCUGUG